CGGAACACGUACGCAACCUUCCUUUAACUGGAGAAUAGCCCCUCGAAAGAGGGAUUAAUACUCCGUAACAUGUACAUGUGGCAUCACAAGUACAUUAUAGCUCCGGCGGUUAAAGAUGGGCGUGCGCCUGAUUAGAUAGUUGGUGGGGUAACGGCCCACCAAGUCUGCGAUCAGUAACUGGUGUGAGAGCACGACCAGUCACACGGGCACUGAGACACGGGCCCG
rnacentral:rRNA from 1 species